CAUCAAAAGUCUUGUUUCAUUUUACAGUGCAAAAACAUCGAAGAAAGCGAUUGGCUAAAAUGACAACCUCGGAAAUCAUCGCAAGUUUUGUUUACAAACAGCCUGAGCUGCUACGACGGCUACGACCGACGAGUGAGCUCUGAAAAAGUUUUUUUUUUGGGAAAUUUUCAAUUCUAUUUUAUUAUUUGUCAGCGUUAUCAGUUAUUGCAAGAUGGUACACCUGGUGGCAGUCUUGAAGCGAAUACAGCAGGUUGAAAAGCCAUCCAAGUGGAGGUACAACCUGGAGGGGUGGAGUUUGCGCUUUCUGGUGGGGGAGAUCACAAGGUAAAACAAAAGUAUGACAACUUGCAGUCGAUGGAAAAGCUAAAAGAGAAGAUAGCAUAAUCAUGGUCGGCGCGUUGUCUCGGAGAAGAUGGUAGAAUGCAGCACGGUGGAGUAACCGCCGGGAGAAGUUGGACGUGCUGAAGCAACAGAACGAUGUAAUCCAGAAUCGGUCGAAGAUUGAGGCGGAAAUCGAGAGGAACAUUGAUCGCCAUCUGCGGGACAUUGAGGCCAAGAUGGUCGUUUUUGGGAGGUCAAAGAGUAGAAGCUAGGAACAGCUCUGUGACAAGAAGUGACAGAUGCCUUGGCCAGGCGCAGAAAAAACGCAGCAAGUCGUAAGUUAGACGGUACAAUCUGAGUAUAAGAUGAUUGAUCGAUUUUCUUAUUCCAGUGGUGUUGACCGGGUAGCGGAUGAUUUUGAGACGUCCUCGCGGGAUAACCUGUCCGCAAUCAAAGGUUGCUGCAUCCGUGUCAAAUAAUAAUUACAGCGCUUUCAGGCC